rnacentral:rRNA from 1 species
CCAUNCGAGUNGUGAGGGGUAAGCCCUCGGCGGACUGCUCAGUAACACGUGGAUAACCUGCCCAAAGGUAUGGGAUAACCCCGGNAAACUGGGGAUAAUACCGUAUAGAUCACCAGUGCUGGANUGCUAGGUGGUUUAAAGGCAACGCCUUNGGAUGNGUNUGCGGCGGAUUAGGUUGACGCCAGUGUAACGUACNGGCGUGCCUGUAAUCCGUACGGGUUGUGGGAGCAAGAGCCCGGAGAUGGAUUNUGAGACACGAAUCCAGGCCCUACGGGGCGCAGCAGGCGCGAAAACUNUACAANGCAGGCAACUGCGAUAGGGGGACAUCGAGUNGCAUCCACCUUGGGUGCCUGUCCAACCGUCUAAAAAACGGUUGUUAGCAAGGGCCGGGUAAGACCGGUGCCAGCCGCCGCGGUAAUACCGGCGGCUCGAGUGGUGGCCGAUAUUAUUGAGUCUAAAGGGUCCGUAGCCGGCUUUGCAAGUCCCCUGGGAAAUCCAGCGGCUUAACCGUUGGGCUUUCAUGGGAUACUACAUUGCUUGGGACUGGGAGAGGUAGGAGGUACUCGGGGGGUAGGGGUGAAAUCCUGUAAUCCUCCGGGGACCACCGGUGGCGAAGGCGUCNUACCAGAACAGGUCCGACGGUGAGGGACGAAAGCUAGGGGCACGAACCGGAUUAGAUACCCGGGUAGUCCUAGCCGUAAACGAUGCCCGCUAGGUGUCACGACGGUCGUGAAUCGUCGUGGUGCCGUAGGGAAGCCGCGAAGCGGNCCACUUGGGAAGUACGACCGCAAGGUUGAAACUUAAAGGAAUNGGCGG